rnacentral:rRNA from 1 species
AAACUUAAAUGAAUUGACGGGGAGCACCACAACGGGUGGAGCUUGCGGUUAAUUGGAUUCAACGCCGGAAAUCUUACCGGGACCGACAGCAAUAUGAAGGCCAGGCUGAAGACUUUGCCGGAUUAGCUGAGAGGUGGUGCAUGGCCGUCGUCAGUUCGUACUGUGAAGCAUCCUGUUAAGUCAGGCAACGAGCGAGACCCACGCCCACAGUUGCCAGCGUACUCUCCGGAGUGACGGGUACACUGUGGGGACCGCCGCUGCUAAAGCGGAGGAAGGAAUGGGCAACGGUAGGUCAGUAUGCCCCGAAUAUCCCGGGCUACACGCGGGCUACAAUGGGUGGGACAAUGGGUAUCGACACCGAAAGGUGAAGGCAAUCUCCUAAACCCAUCCGUAGUUCGGAUUGUGGGCUGCAACUCGCCCACAUGAAGCUGGAAUCUGUAGUAAUCGUGUCUCAAAAUGGCACGGUGAAUAUGUCCCUGCUCCUU